GGAUCGAAGUCUGCAACCCGACUCCGUGAAGCUGGAUUCGCUAGUAAUCGCGCAUCAGCCAUGGCGCGGUGAAUACGUUCCCGGGCCUUGUACACACCGCCCGUCAAGCCAUGAAAGCCGGGGGUACCUGAAGUACGUAACCGCAAGGAGCGUCCUAGGGUAAAACUGGUAAUUGGGGCUAAGUCGUAACAAGGUAGC
rnacentral:rRNA from 1 species